UGACGCCGUCCGCAAUUUCGCUGCCGACGUGGUGAGCGGUAAGAUUAAGCCCCCUUCUACUUCUCCCGUGGAUCGCUUUACUCAAGUACCUUCAGUUGGAAUUAGAUGUUCAGCUCUUGGGCCACGGUUUGUUGCAGAGGCAUUGGCCAAGUGUAAGGAGUGCUACAAGACCAGGAAGAUCUUUGUUUCUCUCGAUAAGCUUAGUGACACACAAUGCCAGCCCGAGUCACAGUUGAAGUUCAUCAUAGAGGCCUGGCAGCAGG